ACCUGCAUCGAAAGUGAUUGUGGCUCUGCUUGUGACCCGGUCAUUGAUACUGCAGGAAGAGUAUAACUGAAUGCAUUUCCCGUGUUUGCUGAGUAAUAUGGUACCUGCCAAACCCUGUAACGUUCAUACA